GGGGACAUCGUUCAAAGGGAGGACUUCUGGCCUGCAACCAGAAAAUCUCGGUUCGAGUCCGAGUGUCUCCACCA
rnacentral:tRNA from 1 species